rnacentral:rRNA from 1 species
GUGCAGGUGAUACGGGCAUAACUUGAGUGCUGUAGGGGAGACUGGAAUUCCUGGUGUAGCGGUGAAAUGCGCAGAUAUCAGGAGGAACACCGAUGGCGAAGGCAGGUCUUUGGGCAGUUACUGACGUUGAGGAGCGAAAGCAUGGGUAGCAAACAGGAUUAGAUACCCUGGUAGUCCAUGCCGUAAACGGUGGGCGCUAGGUGUAGGGGGCUUCCACGUCUUCUGUGCCGUAGCUAACGCAUUAAGCGCCCCGCCUGGGGAGUACGGCCGCAAGGCUAAAACUCAAAGGAAUUGACGGGGGCCCGCACAAGCGGCGGAGCAUGUGGAUUAAUUCGAUGCAACGCGAAGAACCUUACCUGGGCUUGACAUACACCAGAUUGCUGCAGAGAUGUAGUGUCCCUUGUGGUUGGUGUACAGGUGGUGCAUGGUUGUCGUCAGCUCGUGUCGUGAGAUGUUGGGUUAAGUCCCGCAACGAGCGCAACCCUUGUCUUAUGUUGCCAGCAUUUGGUUGGGGACUCAUGAGAGACUGCCGGGGUUAACUCGGAGGAAGGUGGGGAUGACGUCAAAUCAUCAUGCCCCUUAUGUCCAGGGCUUCACACAUGCUACAAUGGUCGGUACAACGCGCAGCGACACUGUGAGGUGGAGCGAAUCGCUGAAAGCCGGCCUUAGUUCGGAUUGGGGUCUGCAACUCGACCCCAUGAAGU